UCUGAUCAUAUUUUCAAGGAUGCCAAAUAUUUGCUUCAGUAAGCCAAACAUCGAAUGAUCUUCACUAGAGCUUCUCCAUGAUCCAACAGGCUUAGAAUCAUCUCCUUUCUUCCUUGGCACGUUCUGGAUCUUUAGCAGCAUAUUGGCAGUUUGAAUUAAAUAUUUACACUGGGGAACCCAAUCCAGGAGUACUGCCACCACUAUCUUAUGCUGUGGAUUUAUGUGUGACCAAAAUGUAAAACACUUCUGUAAUUGUUGUAGAGGUGCAUCCAAAAACACAAACUAGUCAAUCUUGAGGACUAUCAAGGUUUCACAGCAGGCUUCAUUGCCAUGUGCCUCUCAAUCAGUUUGUCCACAAAGGCACGAAUCUUAUUCUUGCGUUUGAAAUCAAGAAACUGAGAAACAGCCAUUGCUUUUUCUGUAUCAGUGGCCUGCUCCAUGACCUUAGUUGCAGUUUUCUUCAUUAUUGAUUUGUAUCCUUCUCUGUCAAUUUUCCGUGCCUUAUAAACAGGCAUCAACAGUGACGCAACAAAAUCCACAACAGCCUGUUUAAUACGAUCUGCACCUCGGAGACGAUUUUUUUGUGGUUCCUUGUUUAAUGAAACCUGUGAGAUUGAGCCAUCAUUUGCUCGUCCAUCAUUCUUCCAGGUUGGUUUUGAACUUGUGUUUGAAUCCUCUGCAUCAUUUACACGCAAAGCUGGAUGAAAAAAGUCUGAAUCAGCAGCAGCUGCUUGAGAUUGCCAUCUCUCAAUGGCAUGAUGGUCCUUUAUCCCCUCAUUACCAACAGUAUCAACCCAUGCUCUAGUAAAAAGA
rnacentral:misc_RNA from 1 species